CUGAAGGUCUGUGUGAACCAGCUGUGUGGGGGGGCUCUACAGCACUGAAGGUCUGUGUGAACCAGCUGUGUGGGGGGGCCUGAGACAGGAGAGGGGAGAGGGUUCCGGUGCGGUGGAAAACAUCCUGCCUUGCUACGCUACCAAAGAAGUCGUUUCCAUCUGCCCCAUGAUGAUGACUUCAGACUGCUUUCCCCUUUACAUCCCCCAUCCCAAGUCCUGGAGUAGACUGGUUUUUGGCCCGUCUCAGACCUCAGAACCGGUCACUCCCACAUGCCUGGCAAUCUCCUCAUCUCUCUCACCUGACCGUUGGACUGUAUCUUGGAUCGAGCCUGCCCUUCGUCGGAUUUGUCUGCUGGAUUGUUUGAUCUCCCGGUUCUGACCGUGCCUGCCUGUCCAUCGGAUUCUGAUUACUCUGCCUGCUCCUUGUUGGAUUGUUUGUACACUGGAUGGAUUUCCUGGUUUUGAC
ensembl:lncRNA